rnacentral:lncRNA from 1 species
UAAGACCAGUUUUCUGUCCAGUUGGAGUUGUGGCAGGACCACAAGGUGCGGGAGAGGGUUAUCAGCUGGCAUAGAAUUAAUUAUACCAGAAUACAUGACUACCCCUUCAUUUUGCUAGCCAUGAUAUUCUGGUUUCUGGUGUGUCUCAUUUUAGCCACAAGGAGUCCCUUGGGGAAGACUGCCAAUAUGUCUGUUAGGGGAUACUUUAAGAACCUGUAAAAUCAACACAAGUUAUUUACUUAAAAGCACAGCAUACACAACCCCAUUUUGAAAAGGAGAAAUAGACAAGAAGAAAUGGGUAACAGGCCUCAAGCAAGUCUGAAACCCAAGAGAGCCAAUGAUGGACAUUCAGACUCCUGAAUAAUUUCCUUUGAUGACAUGUCCUGCAUCUUCUAUAAACAGGCAUGCACUCAUAAAAAAUGCUGUAAUCCUGCAGAUUGUACUCUAGUUAGAUCUGCAGAAUGUGGCACUGGAUCAUGCUGUAACAAUAAAACUUGUACGAUCCACGAAAGAGGCCAUGUCUGCAGAAAAAGUGUAGAUAUGUGUGAUUUUCCAGAAUAUUGCAAUGGAACAUCUGAGUUUUGUGUACCUGAUGUGAAAGCUGCUGAUUUAGAAUACUGCAGUAAUAAGACUAGCUAUUGCUUUAAAGGAGUAUGCAGAGAAAGGGAUAGACAGUGUUCACAGUUAUUUGGAAAAUUUGCUAAGUCUGCUAAUCUUCUGUGUACAGAAGAAGUGAAUUUUCAAAAUGACAAAUUUGGAAACUGUGGUUCCCGUUGUGAUUUUUUUGAUAUCCUUUGUGGAAAGAUUGUUUGUCACUGGAUACAUUCAGAACUAGUACCAAUGACAGACUUAGACAUACAAUAUACUUACCUUAGAGGUCACGUAUGUUUGUCCGCACAUGCAAGAAAUGGUUCAAAACAAUCGGAGACCUAUACAGAAGAUAUAACUGCAUGUGGCCAACACAAGGUAUGUCACUCCCGAGAAUGCAGAAAUUUUAGUGAACUAAAUAUAACAAAAUAUACUACAAAUUGUGGACAGAAUGGGAUUUGCAAUGAACAUUUCCAUUGUCAAUGUGAUCCUGGUUAUGCUCCUCCAGAUUGUGAGCCAGCAAUGUCAUCACCAGGAGGAAGUAUCAAUGAUGGAUUUUGGCUUACAGUAGAAAAAAGUGUACCCUUGCUUCCAAAACGACGUGCUGCUCCUAAAAACAAUGGUCUUUUGAUCAGUUUCUACAUUUUUUCACCUUUGCUCAUUUUAAUUGCUAUUGUUAGUCUUAAAUGGAAUAAAAUGAAGAGAUUUCGGAGCAAAGUGGGAACAGUAAGCAGCAGAUCUAUCUCAGAAGACAGCGGUAGUAACAGCAGCCAGUCACAGAGUUAAAGUAACCAAGUGAUAAAAUCAAAGCCAUCGGAUGAAGAAAGGAUAUUACCAAGAAACUCACCAUUAACUUAAAACUUUCAACUUCACAGAAAAAAAUAAAUCAUAUGACUAAAAGCAU